rnacentral:rRNA from 1 species
UCGAGAAUCUUCGGCAAUGGACGAAAGUCUGACCGAGCGACGCCGCGUGCGGGAUGAAGGCCUUCGGGUUGUAAACCGCUGUCAGUUGGGAGGAAGGCGCUGUGCAGAGCAGCGUUUGACCUAUCUUCAGAGGAAGUCCGGGCUAAGUUCGUGCCAGCAGCCGCGGUAAGACGAACCGGACAAACGUUAUUCGGAAUUAUUGGGCUUAAAGGGUGCGUAGGCGGUGCGGUAAGUCGGGUGUGAAAUACCUCAGCUCAACUGAGGAAUUGCGCCCGAUACUGCUGUGCUCGAGGGAGACAGAGGUAAGCGGAACUGAUGGUGGAGCGGUGAAAUGCGUUGAUAUCAUCAGGAACACCAGUGGCGAAAGCGGCUUACUGGGUCUCUUCUGACGCUGAGGCACGAAAGCUAGGGUAGCGAACGGGAUUAGAUACCCCGGUAGUCC